UUGCUGGUUUAGUGGCGGACGGGUGAGUAACGCGUGGAUAACCUGCCUCAUACAGGGGGAUAACAGUUAGAAAUGACUGCUAAUACCGCAUAAGCGCACAGUUUCGCAUGGAACAGUGUGAAAAACUCCGGUGGUAUGAGAUGGAUCCGCGUCUGAUUAGCUAGUUGGCGGGGUAACAGCCCACCAAGGCGACGAUCAGUAGCCGGCCUGAGAGGGUGAACGGCCACAUUGGGACUGAGACACGGCCCAAACUCCUACGGGAGGCAGCAGUGGGGGAUAUUGCACAAUGGGGGAAACCCUGAUGCAGCGAACCGCCGCGUGAGUGAAGAAGUAUUUCGGUAUGUAAAGCUCUAUCAGCAGGGAAGAUAAUGACGGUACCUGACUAAGAAGCACCGGCUAAAUACGUGCCAGCAGCCGC
rnacentral:rRNA from 1 species